CAGUCGCCACGGUAAUACGUAGGGUGCAAGCGUUAAUCGGAAUUACUGGGCGUAAAGCGUGCGCAGGCGGCUAUGCAAGACAGAUGUGAAAUCCCCGGGCUCAACCUGGGAACUGCAUUUGUGACUGCAUGGCUAGAGUACGGUAGAGGGGGAUGGAAUUCCGCGUGUAGCAGUGAAAUGCGUAGAUAUGCGGAGGAACACCGAUGGCGAAGGCAAUCCCCUGGACCUGUACUGACGCUCAUGCACGAAAGCGUGGGGAGCAAACAGGAUUAGAUACCCCCGUAGUCCCUGUCUCUUAUAC
rnacentral:rRNA from 1 species